rnacentral:tRNA from 1 species
GGGGUUCUAGCUCAGUGGUAGAGCGCUUGCCUUGCAUGUAUGAGGCACUAGGUUUGAUCCUCA